GGGUUGUGAGGUUAAGCGACUAAGCGUACACGGUGGAUGCCCUGGCAGUCAGAGGCGAUGAAGGGCGUGCUAAUCUGCGAUAAGCGCCGGUAAGGUGAUAUGAACCGUUAUAACCGGCGAUACCCGAAUGGGGAAACCCAGUGUGAUUCGUCACACUAUCAUUAACUGAAUCCAUAGGUUAAUGAGGCGAACCGGGGGAACUGAAACAUCUAAGUACCCCGAGGAAAAGAAAUCAACCGAGAUUCCCCCAGUAGCGGCGAGCGAACGGGGAGGAGCCCAGAGCCUGAAUCAGCAUGUGUGUUAGUGGAAGCGUCUGGAAAGGCGCGCGAUACAGGGUGACAGCCCCGUACACAAAAGCGCAUGUGCUGUGAGCUCGAUGAGUAGGGCGGGACACGUGGUAUCCUGUCUGAAUAUGGGGGGACCAUCCUCCAAGGCUAAAUACUCCUGACUGACCGAUAGUGAACCAGUACCGUGAGGGAAAGGCGAAAAGAACCCCGGCGAGGGGAGUGAAAAAGAACCUGAAACCGUGUACGUACAAGCAGUGGGAGCACAGGUUUACCUGUGUGACUGCGUACCUUUUGUAUAAUGGGUCAGCGACUUAUAUUCUGUAGCAAGGUUAACCGAAUAGGGGAGCCGGAGGGAAACCGAGUCUUAAUUGGGCGUUAAGUUGCAGGGUAUAGACCCGAAACCCGGUGAUCUAGCCAUGGGCAGGUUGAAGGUUGGGUAACACUAACUGGAGGACCGAACCGACUAAUGUUGAAAAAUUAGCGGAUGACCUGUGGCUGGGGGUGAAAGGCCAAUCAAACCGGGAGAUAGCUGGUUCUCCCCGAAAGCUAUUUAGGUAGCGCCUCGUGAAUUCAUCUCCGGGGGUAGAGCACUGUUUCGGCUAGGGGGCCAUCCCGGCUUACCAACCCGAUGCAAACUGCGAAUACCGGAGAAUGUUAUCACGGGAGACACACGGCGGGUGCUAACGUCCGUCGUGAAGAGGGAAACAACCCAGACCGCCAGCUAAGGUCCCAAAGUCAUGGUUAAGUGGGAAACGAUGUGGGAAGGCCCAGACAGCCAGGAUGUUGGCUUAGAAGCAGCCAUCAUUUAAAGAAAGCGUAAUAGCUCACUGGUCGAGUCGGCCUGCGCGGAAGAUGUAACGGGGCUAAACCAUGCACCGAAGCUGCGGCAGCGACGCUUAUGCGUUGUUGGGUAGGGGAGCGUUCUGUAAGCCUGUGAAGGUGGCCUGUGAGGGUUGCUGGAGGUAUCAGAAGUGCGAAUGCUGACAUAAGUAACGAUAAAGCGGGUGAAAAGCCCGCUCGCCGGAAGACCAA
rnacentral:rRNA from 2 species